UAUACUUUACGCAAUCCCAAAAAAAAUAGUGCAGAUACUUUUCAAUAUUCAAGCACUCCACUAAUUAACUUCUCAGACACUUAUAAGAGAUCACAUGUCUUAUUUUAGGUCUGGUGGACUUACAGUUUAUGUCAUACCUGUAGAUGUAUAAACAGAUUGCUAACUAUUCCAUCUAAGGCGUCAAACUUUUACACUGAAGCUUUCACUAAAGUCGAGAAAAUCUGAUGCAACAAAAAGAAUUAUUAAAAGAUAAAUGAAUGCCAUUGACAACUGAAGAAACAACCAUACAAUUGAACAAUAUUUUCCACCGAUAUGGUACCUUAAGUAGCAAACGAGGAUUACUUUCUAAGAUCACUCUUCUUGGUGACGAACACUCU
rnacentral:lncRNA from 1 species